rnacentral:misc_RNA from 1 species
CCGAGUGUGAACCCCCCCCGUAAAAAAGGGGGGUUACCUCCCGUCCUUUGCUGGGCAUCCCCAUCCAAUCGGAUGGGGGUUGUUUUCAGACACUUCUGCUUCGGCGGGGUAACCCGCCGGAACAACCUCAAACUAUACA